ACGAACGCUGGCGGCGUGCUUAACACAUGCAAGUCGAACGGAAAGGCCCUGCUUUUGUGGGGUGCUCGAGUGGCGAACGGGUGAGUAACACGUGAGUAACCUGCCCUUGACUUUGGGAUAACUUCAGGAAACUGGGGCUAAUACCGGAUAGGAGCUCCUGCUGCAUGGUGGGGGUUGGAAAGUUUCGGCGGUUGGGGAUGGACUCGCGGCUUAUCAGCUUGUUGGUGGGGUAGUGGCUUACCAAGGCUUUGACGGGUAGCCGGCCUGAGAGGGUGACCGGCCACAUUGGGACUGAGAUACGGCCCAGACUCCUACGGGAGGCAGCAGUGGGGAAUAUUGCACAAUGGGCGGAAGCCUGAUGCAGCAACGCCGCGUGCGGGAUGACGGCCUUCGGGUUGUAAACCGCUUUCGCCUGUGACGAAGCGUGAGUGACGGUAAUGGGUAAAGAAGGACCGGCUAACUACGUG
rnacentral:rRNA from 1 species